rnacentral:rRNA from 2 species
AUGGCUCAGUGAGGCCUUCGGACUGGCUCAGGGAGGUCGGCAACGACCACCCAGAGCCGGAAAGUUGGUCAAACUCGGUCAUUUAGAGGAAGUAAAAGUCGUAACAAGGUCUCCGUAGGUGAACCUGCGGAGGGAUCAUU